rnacentral:rRNA from 1 species
CCUACGGGAGGCAGCAGUGAGGAAUAUUGGUCAAUGGACGAGAGUCUGAACCAGCCAAGUAGCGUGAAGGAUGACUGCCCUAUGGGUUGUAAACUUCUUUUAUAUGGGAAUAAAAUGUUCCACGUGUGGGAUUUUGUAUGUACCAUAUGAAUAAGGAUCGGCUAACUCCGUGCCAGCAGCCGCGGUAAUACGGAGGAUCCGAGCGUUAUCCGGAUUUAUUGGGUUUAAAGGGAGCGUAGGUGGAUUGUUAAGUCAGUUGUGAAAGUUUGCGGCUCAACCGUAAAAGUGCAGUUGAAACUGGCAGUCUGGAGUACAGUAGAGGUGGGCGGAAGUCGUGGUGUAGCGGUGAAAUGCUUAGAUAUCACGAAGAACUCCGAUUGCGAAGGCAGCUCACUGGACUGCAACUGACACUGAGGCUCGAAAGUGUGGGUAUCAAACAGGAUUAGAUACCCGAGUAGUC